rnacentral:rRNA from 1 species
GGUGCACCAGGCGCGAAACCUUUACAAUGCUGGCAACAGCGAUAGGGGGACCUCGAGUGCCAUCGUACAACGAUGGCUGUCGUGAUGCCUAAAAAGCAUUAUAUAGCAAGGGCCGGGCAAGACCGGUGCCAGCCGCCGCGGUAACACCGGCGGCUCGAGUGGUAACCGUUAUUAUUGGGUUUAAAGGGUCUGUAGCCGGCCGGAUAAGUCUCUUGGGAAAUCUGGCAGCUCAACUGUCAGGCUUUCAGGAGAUACUGUCUGGCUCGAGACCGGGAGAGGUGAGAGGUACUUCAGGGGUAGGGGUGAAAUCUUGUAAUCCUUGAAGGACCACCAGUGGCGAAGGCGUCUCACCAGAACGGAUCUGACGGCAAGGGACGAAAGCUAGGGGCACGAACCGGAUUAGAUACCCGGGUAGUCCUAGCCGUAAACAAUACUCGCUAGGUGUCGGCUACGGUGCGACCGUAGUCGGUGCCGUAGGGAAACCGUGAAGCGAGCCACCUGGGAAGUACGGCCGCAAGGCUGAAACUUAAAGGAAUUGGCGGGGGAGCAC